ACAUGCAGCUGUUACUAUAGCAACCUCCUCACGCGCGCAAAUUAUGCAUAUACUAUGCAGAUUUGUCACAUUGAAACCACAAAUUUCAAUUUAUUUUACUGGGAUUUUGUGUGGUAGGUCAAUACAAAGUAGUAAGCAAAGUUUUUUGGGUUUUUUUGCUUUUGUUUUUAUCUCCUUUUUUGUAAUACCACAAAAAAAAGUAAUAAUCCUCGAAUAUCGAUGAGCCAUUCACCCAGAAAAUGCGCCUCAAGCCAGAGCGGGGACAUGGCAAAUGGUUUGAUCUGAAACAAGGAAGUGUGUGUGGAGGGGCAGCAAAAGCGGAACAAAUGUGUAAGAAUAUUUAAAGUUACAAGAAUAUUUGAACACCUUGUUUUCUCAUGACAGACCGAUGUCUGUCAUGAGAAAACAUGACAGACAUGUCAUGUUUUCUCUGACAUGACAUGUCAGAGAAAUGCUGCAUGCUGGAAAACAACAUGCAGUUUUCCAGCAUGUUGUGGAAAACUGACACCAGGAAAGAUCUAGAAAAAACUGUGAAGCUUAAGGCCCACCAAGGCAAAAAUAAUGACAGGAAUGUCAGGUGAGAUAGUUUUUUUUUUUUUACUUUCAAAUCACCAGAUGAAGAGACUUUUCCUUAAAUCAAUCCAAUCCAAGUGCUUAAACAAAUUAUGAAAAGUCCCAGUAAAAAAAGUCCAGAAUGCUGGUAGCUACUCUAUUCCUGCAUUUUACAGUAAGUUAUGUGCAUCAAACGUUACAGUCGUCUUUGAGGAUUAUUUCUCAUUCCUGCUCAUAAACUACUCAUCUUAACCUAUUUUCACUUUGUGCAUAAUGAUUAUUCAGAGACAUACCUGGAGAGAAGAGGAAGAAGAGAAUCACAAAACUAAGUAACAUCUUCUGAUGUUAAAAGUUUGCAGUCUGCGGUCAAACUUGUGUUCAGCUCCUUAUGUGUGCAUGUGUCGUUUCAGGUGUUUGCUUUAAAGCAAGCAGCUGAAGCAGAUCCUCCCACACCAGCCACCAUGGUGGCAUUAAGCCAAGCGUUGCAUCAUUGUGAAGGACAUUCCUCGAUGUUGGCUGUGGUUUCAUUGAUACUUGCCUUUUAGUCACCGGCUUCCAGUCACAGACGGGGAUUAUUGUUGUUGUCUAACUUUCAUUUCUGCAACUCAAGAACACCUAAGGGUAAAUAUUCAAAUCAGAAGUGAAAACCUUUGGCAUUAUUUGAAGGUGACAUCCAAUAAUGAUGCUUUCUAUUACAUUUUAAGUAAAUGCAUAACUUUUCAAUGACUUGAAUUAUUAAGCCAUUGAGAUUUAACAGCUCUUGUGAUUAUGUCGCUCUUUUAGCAGGAUCGUCUCUCAUUCACGUCUCCUGUUUAUUUUGCGAAACAGAUGAGCGGUUGCAGUCGCCAUACUGCCGACGUGUGCACAACACACUUUUCAAGAAUUUACCAAGAAACGGUGUCCUGGAGCGGAGUGUCAAAGUGAUGCCAUGCAGAUAUUCACUUGUUUUACAUGUAAACAAACCAAGAAACCAGUCGGACAAUUUCCUGCCUUCCCACACAGACUUUCACAUUCCUUCUCGUUCUGUUUACAUAAUCAGGCCCAGAUGUUUUUUGUUCCUUUGUAACUUUUCCCCAAACUGAGGAAAACGACAAACAAUUUAAUUCAGCUAAAGCAAACGAGCUCAAACUUUAACAUAAUUUAUUGGGAUUUUACGUGAUAGAAUAAUACAAAUGCAAGUGCUUACUCAUCAAGAAAGGAAACGAUGACAAAUGAUACCUGGUUCUGACUAAACUUUGAAGAGUCCAGAGUAGGUCAGUUUAUGAGAUUACUAUUUAAAACCAAAGGUGAUUGUUUAAAUAAUACUUGAUUUGUUACAACACCACAACAGCAAAAUUCAAGAACUCUACAGGAGGUGAACCGAUGGAGCUGGAGGGUAGCAAAAGAUAAAAGCUCUCUGUGUUCACUCUUUUCAGCAGAAAAAUGGAAGUUUAA